CUUGGCACGUAGUCAGUUGAGAUAUUGGCAGAGAUAUGAUAAUCAUAAACAAUGGCAGGAUGUUUUGGCAGGAAAAGUGCUGUGGGAAGUCCUGGUGAGAACUUCUGGCAGAGAGGUGACAGAGAAUGUUUGAUAGGAAGGUUUUGACAGGCAGAAACCAUUUUUGGAAUUUCUGUAUUAUUUGUGUGUUGCCAUGGUGAACGACGUAACAGGGAAUGCAUAAUGGUUACCAUGGUAACUGACUGUAACAAUAGGGUAGUAUGAUGGUUGCCAUGGUAAAGGAUGUAUUAUUAAGGAUGCAUAAUGAUUGCCUUAUUAACCAACCUUAGUAAUGUAAAUGCACAAUGGUUCCCAUGGUAACCCAUAUAUCAAUGAGAAUGAAUAAUGGUUGCUACAUUAAACAAUGUCACAAUGAGAAUUCACAAUGGUUGCGAUGGUAACCGAUUUCACAAUGCGAAUACACAAUGGUUGCCAUGGUAACCAGAGUAUCAAUGAGAAUGGACAAUGAUAGCCAUGGUAACCGAGGUCACAAUGAGAAUACACAAUGGUUGCCAUGGUAACCAAGUCACAACCAGAAUGCACAAAGCUUACCAUGAUAACAGAGGUCACAAUGAGGAUGCACAAUGAUUACCAUGGCAACUGAGGUCGCAAUGAGAACGCAAAAUGGUUGCCAUGGUAACUGACGUCACAAUGAGAACGCAAAAUGGUUGCCAUGAUAAACGACGUAACAAUGAGGAUGCACAAUGAUUGCCAUGGUAACCGAGGUCGCAAUGAGAAUGCACAAGGGUUGCCAUGGCAACUUACGUAACAAUGAGAAUGCACAAUGGUUACCAUGGUAACUGAGGUCACAAUGAGAAUGCACAAAACUUGCCACAAUAACCGAUGUCACAAUGAGAAUGCACGAUGGUUGCCAUGGCAAAUGACAUCACAAUGAGAAUGCACCAUGGCUGCCAUGGUAACUUACAUACCAAUGAGAAUGCACAAUGAUUGCUAUAGUAACUGAUGUCACAGUGAGAAUGCACAAUGGUUGCCAUGGUAACCGAGGUCACAAUGAGAAUGCACAAUGGUUACCAUGGUAACUGAGGUAAAAAUGAGACUAUUUUAUGUUUACCAUGGCAACCGAGGUCACAAUUAGAAUUCACAAUGGUUGGCAUGGUCAUCAACGUCAUAAUUUGGAUGCACAGUGGUUGCCAUGACAACUGAGGUAACAAUGAGAAUGCACAAUGGUUGCCAUGGUAACUGAGGUCACAAUGAGAAUGCAAAAUGGUUGCCAUGGUGUAAGGGGGUACUUUUGAUUUAGGUGAUCAAUGUAGCAAAGAGGGGUGAGAAAGUGAUUAUAUUCGCAUGUGAAACCAGCCAGAAUAUUGUACAGUGUGACUUUAUUGCACAAGUUCACUGUAAGGCCCACUGUGUCUUUAGCAAAGUCAACUGGAUGUCCCCCAUUAUCAGAGCUGAGCUCCUCCUUGGCCUGGCUCCACUCUGCAAGAGAGAUACAAAUCCCCUUGGAACACAAUGGUACAGGUCGUCCAUAGGGCUGAGGAAGGUGAUGGAGAGGAAGAUGAUGUUGGCAGGGGUUGUUGGCUCCUUGCCCUACAGUGGGGCACGCCCAGACUGUUGCCAUGAGGUGAUGAACGGGCGCUGUUUGGCUGCCACUCAAGCACCACCUUCUGCUGCGUCCUGGCCCUACGUAGUGUAAUGUAGAGCUGAUGGAAUGGGGUGUCAGCACUGCUGGGUGGAGCGAUGCUCAUCCUUCCAUCCACACUGUGCUGCUCCGCGGGGACACCCGCCAAGCACGGGCACCGACCAGCCCUGCAGAGCCUGGUAGGCCUGACGUGUCUGUGCAGGUGAGCACAGUUUAUUGAUAGGAAGUAACCAAGAAAGCAAACAUUUUAUUUCCUUUUUUUUUAUCCCUUUAAUUCCCUUUUUACUAGCUAAUGCUGUAAUAAAAGCUGUUCGUAGUAUUGUAUGCAUGGCAACUGAUAAAGUAGUGGUUUUAGUUUUUUCAACUUUUGAUUCUCUUUGCUAAUAGUUUUUAUAAAUUUUAUUCUCACUGCAAUAAAAGAUUUUUUUGUAGUGUUUGAA